CCCUGAGUUCACCUUAGGACACCUGUGUUACCGUUUGACAGGUGUACCGCCCCAGUCAAACACCCCACCUGCCACUGUUACCUUCCAGCCAUUUU